UACGUAGGUGGCAAGCGUUGUCCGGAUUUACUGGGCGUAAAGAGCGCGCAGGCGGUCGUUCAAGUCGCGUGUGAAAGCCCCCGGCUCAACUGGGAGAGGUCCUUGGAUACUGGCGAACUUGAGGGAUGCAGAGGAAAGUGGAAUUCCCGGUGUAGUGGUGAUAUGCGUAGAUAUCGGGAGGAACACCAGUGGCGAAGGCGGCUUUCUGGGCAUUUCCUGACGCUGAGACGCGAAAGCGUGGGGAGCGAACCGG
rnacentral:rRNA from 1 species